GGGCGAUUAGUUCAGUGGUAGAAUGCUUCCUCGACACGGAAGAGGUCGCUGGUUCGAUCCCAGCAUCGCCCA
rnacentral:tRNA from 1 species